CAGUUCACUUUCGCAGCCCGAUAUUUGUUGCAGUCAGUUGAUACACGUUUGUCUUACCGUUUUGCUGAAGCUCAUUGGUGAUGGUGCCGUCGGAUGAUGGUCAUUUGUUGGUGGUUGAUUUCUUAACCUUUUUGCGUUUGCUAUCUGGCGCUGGCAGCAGUAUGUUGGUCGUCUUCUUCGCUGGACGGGAAUGAUUCAUGGAAUGCUUUUGAGGAGGAAGGAAAAAAACGACAUACAAUCCCGCAAGAAGGCAGAAGUCACGCACCUUGCAUCUAUCUCAACCUUAGGAUUGGCCAUCAUUUUAUCUUACUGUUCUGCUUGCUCUAGUAGUUUGAGUAACAGAAGCGAGUAGCACACUCUCACGAGGUGCUGAUAAUGUUUUUCGUUGCUCCUAAAGUAAUGAUCCCUCAAAAACGGCUUCGGGGAGUUCGUCCACCACCAAAGCGCUCCUCGGUUGAGGUGAUGUAGCGUGUGCUACGGGCAGUCAAAACACAUACACUUUUCGGUGCUACAAUGCGGUGAUAGUCCUCGAUGUCUUUUUUUUUGUGGGUUGAUUUUCCAAGCCUGUGUUGUUGCGGUGGAAAACCACACCCGGGGAAGGUCCCAAGAUGAAGAUAAAAGUCAGCAGGCAAUUAAUUUAUGGUGGAAACGAAUUGAGCCUACCAAGUACUGCUCGUGUUAAGUAUUUGCAGCGCGGAGGUCAUAGGGAUUAAUCUUCCCCCACAACCGUUGAUUGAAAGCAUCAAAAUCCCCGUGGUGGUUUUGAAGCAAAUGCGAAAGGAAAAAGGUUUUUUGGGGGACCAACGUCCGCAACAGGCCUCCAGAGAGAUGCACCCCCACUGUUGGAAGCAAAGAUUAACGAGAAUUAAGCACCUGUUAGAUAAUCCUUGAAAGCACAUAAAUAGAGCACAUUCAGAACAUCCCUACCACGCUGAAACUGUUCGUUUCUAAUUAGACAAUCUACCUCCCAAGGCUUGCAAAUUCACUACUUCUUGCCAAACGUGUAAGUUGGCUGUCAUCGCACGGCUUUGUCGCAAAUUUAUUUGACACGCCUGCGUCGGCUGGCAGAACGCAUUUAUUGUCGAAGUUUGUUACGCAAAACUCACAGAUGCAUGCGACAAUCCAGAAACAGUGGUGUUUGAAGCAAGUGAAUGUUUCGUUGGGAUUAUUGGAGAUAUUCAGAAGGUUCACUCUUUUCGUGAAUUCUACUUUGUGCGACAUGUUAUAAGCGAGUUGCAAAAUUAUCUUACUAAUCGAAAACAUUGCCGUUUGUCUGAAUGCCCCCCUUUAAAACUACCGGCUAGAUCUACGCGAAGCACAUGAUUAUGUCGGCAUAUGCGAUCCGCGCACGAUGUGGACACUUACACUGACGCACUCUGCUCACUUGCAACCGCAACCGGUGCACACUCAGCAAAAUUGCAAUUUUACCAGACACAUUCCCAACCGGUGCUGCAGACUUCCAUUACGCCUUCCAUUAUUUGCCUCGGCCGCAAGAAACGCAAACGAACGCACUGAGUGUGUGUGUGUUUGCAUUUGCAGUUUGUGGCAGUAACGGAAUCGCACGAACGUAGAGUGUAAAGCUGCUCUCUUACAGUGCAAAAAACUUGCAGCGCUCACGUUUGCCAUAAUCAUCGCGAUGAUUGGGGAGGGAAGAAUAAUGCAUGGGAAUCAUUUCGUUGGUAUAGGGGCAUGUCAUGAGCAAAAAGUCAGCAAAAUGCCUAGUUGCCUAGAGUCGUCGUCGUCGUCAUAUUCAAUUGCUUUUGCUGUGGCUGCAUCGGGUUUGCCACCAAAGGGGGGGUCACUGUCAAUUGGGGACCACAACCACCAUCAUCAUUGCUGCGAAGGUUGACAGUCGGGCGAGUUUUCGCUCGAUUGGAGAUGGUGAUUGUUGGUGGGAACAGGCGAAGCAUAGUACUAUUGCAACGCAAUCAUUGUUGGGCUGUUGCUGAGUUGUUGGAGCGUUCGAGAUCUCGGUCUCUGAGCUCAGCAGACCUGUUUCUCAUUUUUUGAUUUAUUUAGUAUGCUUAAACGGUCCUUGGAAUAUUUUAAUGCUGAAUAAUCCAUAAAUAUACGAUCAUAAUAUAAAACAGUUUGUUAUCCGCUGCUGUAGGGAGUAAUCUUCAACAAAAUUUAGCCGAUGAAGAAAUAUUGGAGUUUGCUGAUCUAGCUAAAGGCCGGGACAUCAAUAAAUAGGGUGCAACAAUUUAUGGAAUACAUCAACACAGAUGUCAGAAGUUUUCCAAAACACAACUUAACUUAAAUUCAUUUAUAAUUUUGACAUCAGAUUGAUAUGUUCCAUAUGAUAUACAGGAUAUGAUUUCAAUUUCAAUAACAAUUGUUCUUCUCCAACUCAUUAAUGUGUGAAAGUUUCUAAAGAACUUCUUCAAGAUGUCUUAUAUAAUUUGCAUUCUUAGAGCCUUCUUACGAUUCCCAGUUGUCUAUCUCGGUGCUUACAAUCCCUCUUGCUCUGUGAUCUGUGACCUUAAGGCCACUUCUUCCUCACAACCAGUAACCACCUCAAUCUUACUCUCUGUCACCUUUUUUCCAUUACCCAACACGUCUCCUUUCAAUUACGACAUCUUCAUUUCCAUCGCCGGUAAUCUACCCGCUACCGUGUAACGUGUGCUGGUGGGAGUGCCUUUUCUUUAGCCGGCUUUAUUAUUCUUUGGAAGUUUGUGUUUGUGGGGACUGUGUAUGAUUGCUCAUUUGAAUGUCGGUUUUACGGUCUGGCAAGCAGCAGCUCUAGUGAGUUUUGUGUGUCCUUCCCGUGUUCCAUCAUUUCACGGCGGCCUAAUCCGGAAUGUGGUCUUCCACGGUAUAUAAAGCACUCACACACACACACACGGUCCUUUCCCCCUGUCAGCUUUCUCACUUUCAUUAUGAUGAGCUUGUCUCGGUGUUAUGGUCGCCCGGGCGAAGAAUUGACAACUGCUAUCUGGCUGUCGAUAUCUCUAUCAUCCAGCUCAUCAUAGUCGCCUUACUAACAACAACUAUUCACAUAGACAGUACCAUUAUGCGCAUAUAUCAUUGUUACAGAGCCAACAUCAAAGUACAUUAACAUACACACGUCGCUCGGGUGUUGUAAUGAAUGAAUGUUCAACUCGGCAAGGUAGAAAGUGCGUUCGUCGCCGCGUUGCCAUACGAAUCGCAAAACAAUCCGGUUCCGGCCCACCACAUCACAAACAGGACAUACCCAGGACUGGGAAUGGUCCCGCCGGGGUACGCCUGGCGGACUAUUGUUUGUGUUGUGAAUGCAAAACCACCCAUCUCGUACGACACGGACACACUCGUCACAGUUAUCAAAGAGGGCCAGGCGACGGCAAGCACGAGCAGCAGAAACCGCGCGCCAGCUUUGAAUAAUGACUAAAUCUAAAGACUGCUUUGCGCGUGGUACGUGUGGUGUGUGGUGGUACCUUUGCGGAACAUUGUCGUUGUCGGUUAUGGCUUAUGACUUUAUUAUGAUUGCUCUGCACUACCUUUUGCGUAGGUCUCUCUCGCUGUGUGUAUGUGUGUUUUGUAGCGCGGCAAAUCGAAAUGUUGUUCCAACGGAUGAACCUGUGAGCGCUUUAGCUGUCGAAAGUCGGCAGCAGUUGAGACGGUCUCGCUUGUGAUAAAUUCAAUAUUUCGUACACUGUGCAUUCCAAAGUCUAAUCCAAAUAUUUUAUUUAUCUUUCUUCCAGGUAAGCGAAUCCGGGAAAUGCGUAAAAGCAAAUAAACCUGCUCGUUGGAACGUUUUCGUCCCUUUUCAACACCGAAACAUACAGUCAGUUAAACGUAUUUAUGUUCGUGACAAAUCCGGGAAAGAGAGUGAGAGCCUGGACCAUAAAAUGAAUGUUUUGAAUUGCAUUAGUUUUAAAUUUUUAAUUGCCACGCGGGCGACCAACAAAACCGACCCGCCGCCGUCCAGCGGCGCUGUUUUAUGCGAGCGCCAGCCAACCAGCCAGCCUGCCUGUUCCGUUUUAUGACAGCGCUUGGAAAGUUUGCUGAUCCUUUUAACACUCAUUUUCCCGGGCACAUUUCGCUGGCGCGACAAACGGCUGGCGGCGUGGCGCUCUCGACGUUUGUCGGUAUGGGCAUGGGAGAUUUGUUGCAGCAGCAGCACCAGCAGCUGGGACACUACUGAUGCUUCCGUCGUCUCAUCAGCACCGCAUCAAGCGCCCUCUCAACCCUCAUAAACACUGCAAUAAAAUGGCCAUAAAGCUCCGGUUGAUAGAAUUGCGAAGAGGGACAGAGCGCGAGAAGACGAAAGAGAGGCGUGCGAUAAAAACCUCAAACAUUAGAAAAAAGAACAAA